UCAGGUUACAUACACUUCAGGUUACAGACUCUGCUAACAAAGAAAUAUUACCUCGGGUUAAGAACUUUGCUUCAGGAUAAGAACAGAAAUUGUGCUCUGGCGGCGCAGCGGCAGUGGGAGGCCACAUUAGCUAAAGUGGUGCUUCAGGUUAAGAACAGUUUCAGGUUAAGUACAGACCUCCAGAACGGAUUAAGUACUUAACCCGAGGUACCACUGUAUAAGAUAAGAAGUUAUGUUAUAUUAUUGUUGGAAAUUAUAUGUU